rnacentral:rRNA from 1 species
CCAGACUCCUACGGGAGGCAGCAGUGGGGAAUAUUGCACAAUGGGGGGAACCCUGAUGCAGCGACGCCGCGUGGGUGAAGGAGUAUUUCGGUAUGUAAAGCCCUAUCAGCAGGGAAGAACAAUGACGGUACCUGACUAAGAAGCACCGGCUAAAUACGUGCCAGCAGCCGCGGUAAUACGUAGGUGGCAAGCGUUAUCCGGAUUUACUGGGUGUAAAGGGCGAGUAGGCGGGAUUGCAAGUCAGAUGUGAAAACUAUGGGCUCAACCGAUAGAGUGCAUUUGAAACUGCAGUUCUUGAGUGACGGAGAGGCAGGCGGAAUUCCCGGUGUAGCGGUGGAAUGCGUAGAUAUCAGGAGGAACACCGGUGGCGAAGGCGGCCUGCUGGACUGCGACUGACGUUGAGGCCCGAAAGCGUGGGGAGCAAACAGGAUUAGAUACCCUUGUAGG